GGGGAAUAUUGCACAAUGGGCGAAAGCCUGAUGCAGCAACGCCGCGUGAGUGAUGAAGGUCUUCGGAUUGUAAAGCUCUGUCUUUUGGGACGAUAAUGACGGUACCAAAGGAGGAAGCCACGGCUAACUACGUGCCAGCAGCCGCGGUAAUACGUAGGUGGCGAGCGUUGUCCGGAUUUACUGGGCGUAAAGGGUGCGUAGGCGGAUGUUUAAGUGAGAUGUGAAAUACCCGGGCUUAACUUGGGUGCUGCAUUUCAAACUGGAUAUCUAGAGUGCAGGAGAGGAGAAUGGAAUUCCUAGUGUAGCGGUGAAAUGCGUAGAGAUUAGGAAGAACACCAGUGGCGAAGGCGAUUCUCUGGACUGUAACUGACGCUGAGGCACGAAAGCGUGGGUAGCAAACAGGAUUAGAUACCCUGGUAGUCCACGCCG
rnacentral:rRNA from 1 species